rnacentral:lncRNA from 1 species
CAGAAUCCCUCCCGGAUUACGGGGAGGGGGGAAUCACCCUCGAGACGGUCAACCCCCCUGAGAGCCGGGCCCUGCGCGGGGUUCGACCCUGCAUUAUCGGUCGAAAAACGUCUUUUUUAUUCUCUCUCUCUCUCUCUCUCUCUCUCUCUCUCUCUCUCUCUCUCUCUCUCUCUCUUACUCUUUCCUUCUCCUUCUCCCUCUCGCUCUACGUCCCCCUGUACCUUGCCGCUUUCCACCACCACCCUACCGCUACCACUAGCAGCAGCACUCCACCAUCAUGCCGCGUACGUCGCUAUGGAGGAGAGGAUCACCUCCCGUGAUCCGUGCCGCGCUUUUUCCUACCCCUUCGUUCUCUCCCCCUCGGCAAAUUGAUCUCGAAUUCCAUCUCCCCCUCCCGCCUCUCCCGGCGACGACGCUCCGCGGAGAACGAGCCUCAGAAAAGGAGUAUCGGAUCUCGCUCUGUCUCUCCCAUGGCUUCUGGCUUUUACUCCAUUUCUCGGCGCCCUGGCGCCGCUGUGUGCACAUUGCCGCUGGCGGCGCGCCGCCGCCAUGUGCUCGCGCGCCGAUCGCAGCGCGCGAUCGGCCGAUGAUGCGGACGGAUGCCGGCUGAUUUGUCGUUCAUGCCGUUCGUGGCAUUCAUGUCGGGAUUAGUCAUCGCACGAGGAUCCCGGAUGAAUCCAUUCCGCCUUUUCCUGUGUCUCGUUUUAGGAGACGCGCGAGACGCUUAUAACCGUGGGAACGUGGUUCUUAAUCGAGAGCGGGUCCGUUCUUUUCGGACGCUGGAGAGAGAGAAGGUUUUCCUUCCAAUGCGUCUGAUUAUCAGCUGUCUGAUCCUCGUCGGAAUUCGUUAGAAGUUACAUGGGUCUAAUCGUUGUUAGUAAAAUAUACAGUACGAGAUCUCUGUUGCCAGAUAAAAAGAGCUGUUUCUAAAGCGACCGAGGAAAAGCGUUACAAUCCUGAUCGAUUCUUUUAAUUGAAAUAUCGAUACGCGACAAUGCUGCGGGAACCACGUGUAUUAUACUUCAAAGGACUGUGAGCUGAAAAAACUGGCAAGGCAAGAAUGUUCGAGCAGACUGAUGUCGAUUGAGAAAUUUUUCUCUUUUCUAUUAUUACUUAUUCCCUGUUAUAGCCUUGCUAUUACGAGUCCAACUGACGGCAGAAACAAUUCAGCAUGAGCAAUUGUUCGUCAUGCGCAAAAAAAAGUGUUCGCCAUCUUCUAGAGUUCUAGAUGAUUCUCUUCGCUACAUAGAUGGCGCGAUUGGUCGCCCAUUGAAUGCCAUUCGACUGUUGUUUCUUUUGUCGCAAUCGAUUGACUUCAACGAUUGAAUUAACAUGUUGAUCGCCCAAAUUCAAAACAAUCGACAAACAAGAUAGAACUCGAUUGUUAUAAGCCACGCAAUCCUUAGAGAGAGAGAAAGAAACGAAGCUAUCGUUAACCAGAACAGAAAUCAACUCUGCACAUCCUUUUUUCCUCCUUUGUGCCUCUUUAUGGUUCUUUUUAGCAUUCUGUACCUUGGCUGGAAUCUUUUAGAACUGGCCAUGAAGGACUAAAACGCUUAAAGUCGCGAUAUUCUGUCGUAUGAAUAAUAUAAAUCUAUGAAUAUAUAAAUACACAAUUGCAUAUGUAAUAUUUAAGAUUAGUUCAUGAUAAGACAUACAAGGAACAUGAAUAUGGAAACGAUCAAACUAUAUAGACAAAAAUUAGCUGUAUAAUGAUUAUAAUAUAACAUAAUAUUAUUAUUUUACAUAUAUAUCCAAAUACAUUAGUUUUAAAAGUAUAAUAGACACGUGAAUUCCAAUAUGAAUAUUCAUUUUUUAUCUAACGACUUCUAAAUUGGUACUUAUUCUAAUCUCCAGUAUUACACUCUAUUAACUAGAUGCAGCAUUUGACAUGAUAUUCGAAGAUUUUUGUGGAAUAAGCAAAAAUUAUUUUACAUAUUAAAUGGAAUAAAAUAAAUAAUAUAUUUUAUAUUUAUAUAAAAUAUAAUAAUUAUGUACAAUAAACAAUGAAUUAUAUAAUUAUAUUUAUUACAUAAUAUAUAAUAUCAUUUUAUAUGUAAAGAAAUUAUUAAAUAUCUUGAAAACUAUGUGUACACUGCAUGCUCAAAUGCUGCUCUCGUAUCUCUCUCUCACAAACAUUUAUCUCUUCUAGAUUUAAAUUUUAUUUUCUCUACCUCUUUUAUCUCUACUUCUAACAGAAAUUUUUUUAAACAUUUGCCAUCGGUCAUAGAGAUUUGUCACUAACCACUGAGCCAGUAAUCGAUGUUCUUUUUUCUUCUGUAUCGCAUUUUCUACUUUUUUUUCCAACGCUCGUUUUUUUUAAUGCCCUUUUUCAAUGAUUUCUCAUGAUUUCUGUGAACCGUAAGUGUAUCUACGAUUCAGCGAUAUCUACAAAUGGGAACAUCACGCAAAUAGUUUUUCAUAAAAAUAUCAAUGUAAAAAAAUCGGGAGCGCAAAACAUCGCUUUAACUUGUAAUCUUAAAUAACCUUUUAAGACAAAUUGGUAUCUGAAAGUGUUACAUAGUAAUAUUAUCAACCUGAUAGUAAAUUGUAACAUUUCAUCUGCUUUAUCAAACUCCCUUUUAAACAGUCUUGUUAUUUAAAAAAAAAAA